rnacentral:lncRNA from 1 species
ACUAUCUUCAGAAAGCCUUUCCAGACUCCAGCUACUCUUCUGCCGCGGCUUUCUUACUUCUUUUCUCUUCUCGGCUUAUUUGGGUUGGCUUCUUUGCCCACGACUGUCACUCUCCACCAAAGACAGAGGAUCCGAUGCAGGAGGCAGACAGAGCUGGGCUUCAACGCCAUGCCACUUGCUGUAGCUGGAGCCUUAUCUGAAAAGGUGAGAGGGACCACGUCAGCCUGCAGACCCACCCACCAACCACUUAAGGUCAAGACAACAAGCUCUUCCCAAGGCAAACCAACCCUAGGACAAAAAUAGAGCCAUCAUUCUGACCCAUUGUCCUUCCGACCAAUUCCUUGGCUUCCCAGCCAUUUGGAAACCUCACUGGGAAGUUUGGAGACCUGUGCUUGCAGGCUGGCCUGGCACAGACAGGCUGGAGUGGGAUGACCCCUGCCGGGGGCGGAUGCACUUGUGGAGCUGGGUCUGGCAGGAGAAGUGGGGUGGAGAGCAGAGACUGCAGGCCUGUCCCCCACCCCCAGCUCUCAGUUACAGCUCGUUUGGCUUCAGCUGUGCUUUUAACCUCUCAGGAGGUAGAUGGAAGCCUGCAGUCGGCGUGCGCCUUCCUCUUCGCUGCCCGGACGGGGCCUGGAUCCUUUCUAACUGUGAGUACAGAAGGAGGACACCUCCCGUUUGGAUCCUGGAUUGUAGGCCAGGUCUACCUAGAAGCCAAUCACUCAAGGGGCAUUUCUGACACCAGUCAUCCGGCUUCUCCAGGACGGCUCAACGGUUCACUAAGGACAGCGUGGGAGGAAAACGUGGCCCAGCCUGAUAGAUAUCUCAGUCUUUUCACCCAGACCGACGCCAGCAAAGCUAAAAAUAAAUCAGCUUUCAGGUCUGGGCACAGAGGCCUGGAAGGCGCAAGCGUUCAUGAGCCAGCAGUAAUGAUGGAACCAGCCCUCUCGUGUGGAAGUCUCUCUGAGUGAACCAGAUGUCGUUGGCCCUAGGAGAUCCACGACCAAGAGUUGAGUUUUCACAGCGUUGAAAGGCCAGCAUUGGCCCUAACGCUAUUGGCCUCAGCAGAAGUCAGGAGCAAGAGUGAAGACCUAAUGAAGAGAGAGAGAGGCUGGAGAGUCUGGACAGAAACCUGCGAGCCUUAGAUUCUCAUGCUGUCUCAUCAAGCGCAGGGCCCAGCUUUUCAUCCAGUGAAGGGUUCCAUGCAGCCCAGAACCACCAUGGCCUUGGAGAAGAGGCUCAGAAGCAGGAGUCAGGAAGCAGAAGCCCUGGCCACUUUGUGGUUGUAGAGUCAUCAUCUAGAAGAGAGAACCAUGAAAUGUAUGUGUAGAAAGACAGCUGGCCUCUCUUCCCACAGGAGUUAACGAUCCAGAGGGGAAGACGAUUUGAGCUCUUUACAGACCCGCGUUAUACAUGACUGGCUGCUGAUCCAUCUCCUUCUCGCUGACCAGGACGAGGAAACUGACUGACAUCGUCAAGCAGCAGCAGUGAAGAUGCAGCGUAGACUUUCUGGACAGACCGGUUGCCAAGAACCAAACUGUGGAAGGAGUAAUAAGUAUUCAUUUAACACCCAGUUAUAUAACACAUAUAUAUCAUAUAACAGAGUUAUAUGAUAGGCACUCUGGGGUAAAAAAAUAAAAAUCACCGAACCGACUCUUAACCUCAAUUUGGGUAUUGAAGAAAGGAUUGUCUUGCCUUGCACAUAGUAGGCAUUUAGUAAAUGUUGAAUUGAAGAAUAUAAUCGAACGGUGAUUCAGCUGAGGGAAGGCCUACACAGAGGAAGGGGGAUCUCAAAUCUCUUCCAAAACUGUAAGAAUGACAAGGCAGGAUGUUCUGUGCAAGGCUGGAGUCACAGCUUUCAAAGACAAUUCAAAUGCUACGUGGUCAAGGCACAAGGGGAAAAACAGCCUCUUGAAUCCCUAAUUGUUUACUUCCUUAAGAGAGUAAGUUUAGCUGGCGGCAUGGAGCUUAUUCAUUCAUUCAUUCAUUCACUUACUCAUCCUGUAAUUAUGAAGCAGUUCUAUAUACUAGGUGCUGGGCUCAGCACUAAGGGUAGAGCAGUUGAAAUAAGAUGAACAGUUUCUUGUCCUCAGGAAGCCUCUAGUCCAGGGAGGAAGUCAGACAUUGAAAAUAGAUGUUCCAGCUGUGAUGAAUGGAUCGAUAGGGGCAAUCAAAGUGCUAUGGAUAUCAUUUGUCGUGUACUGCAAGUUUAUUAACCUAGGAAUAGAUUCAAACAUUGUCAUGUACAUAUUGUGACCAUGACUUUGCAAAUGAACUUUUAACAAACAUAUUGAGACUUAUGCAUAUAAAUAAGUGUUUUUUCCAACAAAGACUCACUUUGGAAGCCCGUGUUCAUAUUUCAAUGAUACUUUUCUGGUUACUG